rnacentral:rRNA from 1 species
UACGUAGGGUGCAAGCGUUAAUCGGAAUUACUGGGCGUAAAGCGUGCGCAGGCGGCUUUGCAAGACAGAUGUGAAAUCCCCGGGCUCAACCUGGGAACUGCAUUUGAGACUGCAAGGCUGGAGUACGGCAGAGGGGGAUGGAAUUCCGCGUGUAGCAGUGAAAUGCGUAGAUAUGCGGAGGAACACCGAUGGCGAAGGCAAUCCCCUGGGCCUGUACUGACGCUCAUGCACGAAAGCUUGGGGAGCAAACAGG